UACAAGACCGCUCUUUUUGACAGCAGCUUCCCCAACCAGAACCAGCCCAGGAACUGCUUGCAGGACUACCUGGACUUCCACCUCUGUGAGAAGGCAGUGAUUGCUAAAGGGGACAAUGUCUUUGUAUGUGAAUGGUACCAGCCUGUGUACAAGUCCCUCAUUCCCAUAUCCUGGAUCUCAGCCUGGGACGACCACUGGGCAGAAGCCACAUUUCCCUGGGAAGAUUUGAA
rnacentral:lncRNA from 1 species